ACGAUCAUAAACAAUCAUUUUGUUUACUUGUUUUUGACAGAAGUUAAAUAUGAUUUACCCAAAAAGUUAACAUCCAUAUGAAGUGACCCCAUAUAUGUAAAUACUUUCCAUUUAUAUUAUAGUUCCAUCCAUCUAUCUAUUUUCUACUGCUUUUCCCUUCCGUGUCGUGGGGGGUGCUGGAGCCUAUCCCAACUGCGCUAGGGCGGAAGGCGGGGUACACCCUGGACAAGUCAACACAGAUCGACAGACUACAUUCACACACUCGCGUCAAUUUAGUGUUGCCAAUCAACCUAUCCCCAGUUUGUGAUACAAAAUUUAUUUUUUCAUUAACAGGAUGGACAAAAAGAAAAUGACAACAUAAGAGGCCCUGUGAUGAGGUGGCGACUUGUCCAGGUUGUACCCCGCCUUCCGCCCGAUUGUAGCUGAGAUAGGCUCCAGCGCCCCCCGCGACCCCAAAGGGAAUAAGCGGUAGAAAAUGGAUGGAUGGAUGGACAACAUAAGAGGUUAAGAGUUCCCACAAAGAAAAUGAAGGACCUGCACAAUUCUCCUCCCCCAAAUGAGCAAUCUGGGUGUUUGGCCUUCGUCAGAUGGGAGGACGGUUAUACCGGCAAAAUCUUUACUGGAGCAGACAUUUUGUCAAGAGAUGAAGCUCCUGUGCAGAUCUUAGAUCUUAGAACAGGAGAUUCUGUUUUAGCAAAGUGGUCAGAUGGUAAAUUUUAUAGGGCAACUGUUGAAUAUAUUUCAGGAAAAGUGACGGGGGACUUGUAACAGGCAGAAACACUGUUGGACCACCACCCUAUGGGAGAGAUGCAGGCAACCCAUCUGUCGAGGACACUAUCUCAUAUCGACCGCAGGCAGAAAAAUCAUGGACGCCAUGUGAUGGAUGUUGGGAGGAGUUCGAAAAAAUCCUGCGAGAAAAGCAACAAAUCGAAGAAGUCCUCUUGAAAA